GUUCGCUACUCUGUUAAAAAAUAACAAGCUUUUUAAAAGAUUGUUAUGAAUUGAUAGUAUAUAAGUAACGAAGCUAAAAAAGUAGAAAAAAAUGGAGGGUCUGUGUGCUCGUUUCUGAGAUAUAAGCCAUUGAAAAUUUGGCGGGAAAUAAUUCUCUCUAGAUUUUUCUUACAUUUAACAUUGGCAACUAUUUGUUUCAAAAACAAUGAAAAAAUAACAAG
rnacentral:lncRNA from 1 species